rnacentral:rRNA from 1 species
CAGUCGCCACGGUAAUACAGAGGGUGCAAGCGUUAAUCGGAAUUACUGGGCGUAAAGCGCGCGUAGGUGGUUCGCCAAGUUGGAUGUGAAAUCCCCGGGCUCAACCUGGGAACUGCAUCCAAAACUGGCGAGCUAGAGUAUGGUAGAGGGUGGUGGAAUUUCCUGUGUAGCGGUGAAAUGCGUAGAUAUAGGAAGGAACAUCAGUGGCGAAGGCGACCACCUGGACUGAUACUGACACUGAGGUGCGAAAGCGUGGGGAGCAAACAGGAUUAGAGACCCCCGUAGUCCCUGUCUCUUAUAC